rnacentral:rRNA from 1 species
GACAAACAGAUCGAGUUAAGAUUAAUUGGUAUUAAAGGAGGUUAGGGUUGAAUAAUUGAAAGGUUGUGUUUUAGUGUAGGGGUGGAAUCUGUACAUUGAUUUAGUACUUAUAACUUUCUUAAUUUGAUGCCUCGAAAUUUUUAUAGAAGACCGGGAUUAGAUACCCCGUUAUUUAAAAUAUAAACGUUAAGUAUUAAGAUAUUUUACCUGAGUAUUACGGGCUAAAGUAAUGAUUAUUUUAAUAGCUUAAAACUCAAAAAACUUGGCGGUGCCUUAAUUCCUUCCAGGGGAACCUGUCCUGUAAAUGAUAGUCCUCGAGUUAGCUUACUUUUCUUUGUAUGGUAUAUCAUAUUAACAGCUUGUAUACCGUCGUCGUCAGACUACCUUUAAAAGUAUAGAAGUUGUCAGGGGAAGAUGAUUAUCAGACUUAUUGUAGUAAAUAAAUUUGAUGCAUAAUUUUUGGAUGUCAGAUCAAGGUGCAGCUUAUAGAAAAGUAGAGAUGGGUUACAAUAUAUAUUUAAUAAAUGGAUUUUAAAUUGUAAUUUUUAAAUGAAAGUGGACUUGGGAGUAAUUAAAUAUCUGAAUUAGUGAGUUUUUAUGAAAAUGGUACUAAGGUGCGU